rnacentral:rRNA from 1 species
UGGGGAAUUUUGGACAAUGGGCGCAAGCCUGAUCCAGCCAUGCCGCGUGAGUGAAGAAGGCCUUCGGGUUGUAAAGCUCUUUCGGCCGGGAAAGAAAUCGUGUUCUCUAACAUAGGACAUGGAUGACGGUACCGGACUAAGAAGCACCGGCUAACUACGUGCC